GAGCCAGGAACAGAACCCAAGAGUCCUGGCUCCCAGCCCCCUGCUCUAACCACUAGCACAGGGGUGCGCAAUCUAUGGCCCGGGGGCCUCAUCUGGCCCUUCAUACAUUUUAAUCCAGCCCUUGAGCUCCUGCUGGGGAGCGGGGUCGGUGGCUUGCCCCGCUCUGCACGGCACCUGGAGACAGCUGCA